rnacentral:tRNA from 1 species
AUAACCAGAGGGAAGUGGCUUGCCCAAGAUCCCUUGGCAAGGUUUGGCAAAGCCUGGUUCUAGAAAUGAAGCCUCAGACCUCUUGUCAUCUGUUCCUUGACAGCACCUCUUUCUUCAGACCCAGGUUUGUACAACUCAACAAAAUACUCUGUAUUGGGAAGGUGAUGAGUAGGUAGGUCUAUCAAAACCAUUAGAUACCCAUGGGAUAAAUAAAGUAUAUGGUCUUGCCAUUGAUGUAUUUUUUAAGUUUAUUUAUUUAAUUAGUGAGUGAGAGAGAAUGAGAGCAGGGUAGGGGCAGAGAGAAAGAGGGAGAGAGAGAGAAUCCCAAGCAGGCUUUACACUGUCAGUGUGGAGCCCCACUCCAGACUUGAUCCCAUGAACUGAAAGGCGAGAUCAGGACCCGAGCCCAAAUCAAGAGUCAGAUGCUUAACUGACUGAGCCACCCAGGCACCCCAGCCAUUGAUGUAUUUAGAGGCUAUAAUCAUCUGCUUGAGCUGCCGUAACAAAAUACCUCGGACUGGGUGGAUUGACACUUUUUUCACAGUUCUGGGGGCUAGAAGUUCAAGAUAAAGAUGCUGGCUUGGUUGUUUUCCAUAAGAUCUUUCUUCCCAGCCUGUAGAAGGCCACCUUCUCACUGAGUCCUCACAUGGUGUCUUCUCUCCUUGUGUGAAGAGACCAAGCUCUUCUCUCUUCUCCUUCUUAUAAGGACACUAAUCCCAUCAGGUCAGAGCCCCAUCCUUAUGAUCUCACUUAAUCUUUAUUACUUCUUUAUAGGCCCUGUCUCCAAAGACAGUCACUCUGAUAGUCGGGCUUCAGCAUAUGAAUUUGACAGAGACACAGUUCAGUCCUUAAUAUUCUUUCCUUCGACCCCUCCAAAAUCCAUGUGCUCAUUGUACACAAAAUACAUUCAUACCAUCCCAACAAUCCCCAAAGUCUUAACCCAUUCAAGCAUCAGUUCCAAGUUCAAAGUCUUAUCGAAGUAUCACCUAAAUCAGAUAUGGGUGAGGCUCCAAGUAUGACCUAUCCUGAGGCAAAAUUCUUCUCUACCUAGAUACCAGACAAGUUCCAUGCUUCCAAAAUACAGGUAUAGGAUAGAUAUUCCCAUUCCAAAAGGGAGAAAUCAACAGGAAGGAAGGGGUGAUAGGUCCCAGACAAAUUCAAAACCUAGCAAGGAAAAUUCCACUAAGUCUUAAAGCUCUAGAAUAAUCCUCUCGAGGAAUGCUCUGCCUUCUGGACCCACUUGGUCAGUAGUGUCAUCCUCACUAGGCAGCAGCCUUGCCUCCUCCACUGGGGGCAGAGCCCCACCCUGUGGCUUUUUGCUGUAGCCCUGCCCCUGAGGCACUAAGCAGGGACAGCCCAGAGCCCUGAAACCAAGAGGAGGCCUACCCUCUGAAACCCAGAAAGAAAUAGUCUUGCUCUCUGGGCUGUAUGCUUUAGGCAUAUAGUGGGAAUGGCAGCCCUGAUGAUCUGUGAAUCACCUUCAGGGUCAAUCCUCUUUUCUUAAAGGAUAAAGCAUAUUCACAGCCAAAUAGCUUUAUUAUCCUGUCCUGUAGAAUCCCAGAAAUCCAAUAGCCUUCCUUUAUUUUACCCCAUCUCUGUUCCCUUUGGUCCAAACUGACAAUGUCUGUGCUGGUAUAAAUCCCAUCUCUAUUCUUGGUUUCUGCUGAGAUGGCUGAUACACUGCAUGGGUGACCUCCUUAUAGAGUGAUUUGCCAGACACACCCUAGAACAUGCACUCUUGUUUUGUGCAACAUGGAUGGGCUGAGAAUUUUGCAAAUCUUCACACUCUGGUUUGUUUUUGCUUACCAAUCCCUUCCAUUUGCCUCUCUCAUUUGCCUCAUGUUUUACUAUAAACAGCAAGGAGAAACCAGGCCACACCUUCAACACUUUGCUUAGGAAUCUCUUUAGCUAAAUUUCCAAGUUCAUCACUUGCAAUUUCUACUUUCCAUGAAACACUAGAACACGAUUUAGCCAAGUUCUUUGCUGCUUCCUGAUAAGGAUCAUCUUUCUUCCAGUUUCCAUUCCCAUGUUUUGCAUUUCCAUCUGAAGCCUCACCAGAAUCACCUUUAAUGUUCACAGUUCUACCAACAUUCUGUCCAUGAUGAUAUGUGUCUUCUCUAAAAUAAGAGAUGCUUUCUUUAAUAGCUCUUCUCAUUCCUUCCUCAGCCCUCACCAGAAUUGCCUUUAACAUUCAAUUUCUACCAACCGUCCCUUCAAGGCAACCUAGGAUUUUUUUUUUUCUAGCAUGCACCUCACAGCUUAUCCAGUCUCUCUCCCUAUUACCCAGUUCCAGAAACAAUUUCCACAUUUUUUAGGCAAACCACCGCCCUCCCCACACUUCUUUCCCCCCCCACCCCNCCCCCCCCCCCCCCCCCCCCCCCCCCACUUCUCGAUACCAGAAUCUGUAUUAGUCUGCUAGGGCUGCCAUAGCAAAAUACCACAAAUGCGGUGACUUAAACAACACAAAUUUAUUUUCUCACAGUUCUGGAAGCUGGAAGUCCACAAUCAGUGUGUCAGCAAGGUUGGUUUCUGGUGAGGUCUCUUUUUCUUGCUUGUAGACAACCCCCUUCUGCUGUGUCCUGACAUGGCUACUUCUCUGUGCGUGUGCAGAGAGCUCUGGUCUUCCUCUUCUUAUAAGGGCACUAAUCCUAGGAGAUCAGGGCCCUACCCUUAUGACUUCUUUUAACCUUUAUUACCCCCUUAUAGGCCCUGUCUCCAAAUAUAGUAACAUUGCAGGUCAGGGCUCCAACAUAUGAAUGGGUGAUGUGGGUUUGGGGGGUGGGGAGACAUAAUUUAGUUUGUAACAGGGGCUUUUACCCUAGAAGCAUGUGAGUAGAAUUCUAGUCCCAGCUCUCUGCAACAAGCUCUGUAACUUUGGGUAAGUCACUUCUUUCUGGGCCUCAGUUUCUAAACAAUGACCUGAGAAUGGUAAUGGCUGUUCCAACCCAUUUCACCCAGGAGCUAUGAGAACGCUUGACGAAAUGGUGGUGAAGGUGCUGCCCAGUGAAAAACACUGAGGUGCCAAGUCUCACUGAUUCUAUGGACAAUAUACUUGCAAAAGGUAUACAAACUCUGUACAUGAAAUUUGCUUCCAUUUGCUGGCACUCAGUGAUCAAUAUUUAACCAUCAUGGGCCCCUGACAAUUGGAAAGUAGCUCACAAAAGAAAAAGUCAAGUGGUUACUGCACUGAGCAAGUACUGAGAAAGUUCCCAAUUCUGUCUCUCAUCACCCCCUCAACUCCAUACUUAUACACAGAAACAAACAUACAAAUGACUUUUGACCCCAUGGAAGCCUUUCCAUUUAUUUGUAAAGAAUGUAUUUGUAUUUGUAAAGAAUACUACAUCUCUAUGUAAUCUUUAAAAUAUUCUUGACAUUUAACCUAGUAAUUACAUUUCUGGGAAACUAUCCUAAAAAAAUAAUCUGCAAGAUUUAUGGACUAGAAUGUUAAUAGUGGUGUUAUUUAUAAUAGUGAAAAUAUUGGAAAUAACCUAAAUAUCCAACUGUGAAGGAAUAGUUAAUAAAUUGUAGAGUAUCUAUAUGAUAGAUUAUUAUACAUUCAUUUAAAAUAGCGUUUACAAAGAGUUUAUGCUCUGAUUUUAAGUGAAAAAAAGCAGGGUCCAAAAUUACAUUUAAGUUUUAUCUCAGCUAUGUAAAUAAAAGACAUUUCUUAAAAAGACUAGAAGGAAAUGUGCCAAAAUGCUAGAGUAUUUGCCUCUAGGUGGUGAGACUAUGGGUGGAUGAAGGUUUAUUUGUUUGUUUUUUGCAUUUUAUCUUUUUUUUUUUUUUUUUUGCUUCUUCCAUUUUUUAUAAUUACAUAUUAUUUUAGUAAUGGAGGUGGACGGGUUAAAUGGUAAACACAGGAAAGGAUCACAAGAGGAAUAGUGGUUUACCCUGGUGUCUUACACAGAGAGUUUUGCAUGCUUGAUUCUCCCCUCCAAUGUUAGGGAAACUGAGGCAGAGUUAGAGCAACCGGUUCCAAAUUUUGGGAGUCCAAGUGACCCAGGUCACUGUUUCUCUGUAGCCACAGUAUACUGUCAUGUUUAGGAGGUGACCAUCAUACCAGGGUUUAAAUCCCUGUGCUACCCUUUACAACUGUGUGACCAUGGGAAAAUAAACUUUCCUAUGACUUUGUUGCCUUAUCUAUAAAGGACAGUGAUAAUGAUGGUUCCUAGAUCACAGGGCUUUUGUGAGGCUUAAAUGGUUGCUUAGAAUAACACCUCUCACGUAGUAAGCAGUCAAUAAGUGCUAGUUUUUAUUAUCCUCAUUCUACUGCUAUUAAGUACAGGGGUGAGGAGUGUAUAAUGCUUAGCUUGUGCUUUUAAUUGUGUGAUGUGUGAAGAGUCUAAUUAUAUACCGAUUCUUUAAUUAUCAAAGAUAAUGAUCGUGUUAUACUGUAAUUUUCUUUUUCUUACCCCACUCCCACUACAUUGUGAGCCUUUUGUGAAUAGGAGGUAUACCUUUUUCUUCUUUUGUCCCACCAGCAUUUAGAAGGUAUCAUAAAUGUUUAAUUAGAUAAAUUAUAAAUUAAAUAAUUAAUUGUUAUUAUUUCAUUCUGGCUCAGCACACUUCCAAGUUGCUCUUAGGAGAAUUUUCUUCACUGGCCCUUACUAUGGGAAUAAUGUUGGCCCAGUGACAACUUUGCUUUGUAAACCAUUUUUUCAGCAACUAGCUCUUUUUUUAAAGUCCAGUUUGGGUAUAAUUUACAUAAUUAAUAGUCUCCAUUUUUUUUAGUGUACAUGACUAUGAAUUUUGAUAAAUGCAUACAGUUUGAACAACCACUUCUGCAAUUAGGAUCGCCCCCAAAACUUCACUCCUGCUUCCUAUCACUCCCAACUACUAGCAAUCAUUGAUUGGCUUUCUGUCCUUUUAGCAUUACCUUUUCCAGAAUGCCACAUAAAUGGAACCAUACAGAAUUUAGCUUUUUGAGUCUGGCUUCUUUAAUUCAGCAUAAUGUAUUUAAGAUUCAUCCACGUUGUUGCAUGUAUCAAUAGUUCCCACCUUUUUAUUGUUCAGUAAUAUUACAUUGUGUGGAUAUACCACAGUUAGUUUAUCCAUUCACCUGUUGAAUGACAUUGGGUGUUUCCAGUUUUUGACAAUUAUGAAUGAAGUCACUAUAAAUAUUCAAGUUUUAUGUGAACCUAUGUUUUCAUUUCUCUAGGGUUAAUAAUUAGGAGUGAAAUUUCUAGGUCUUGUGGUUAAAUAUGUUUCACUUCAUAAGAAACUACAAAAAAGUACUUUUAAAAGUGGUUGUAUGGUGUUGCAUUCCUCCCAGCAAUACAUGAGAGUUCCAAUUGGUCCACAUCCUUGGCAGGACUUAGUAUUGUCAGUUCUUUUGAUUUUAGCCAUUUUAAUAUUUGUGUUGUUUCCCAACAACACUUUUGCAUUUCAGGUACUCUGUGAGGGGACCAGAUUAGGAUUAUUGGAUCCAUUUUGACAGAAGCAAUUAAAGCCUAAAUGGGUCUUUUACUCAAGUUCUUUGGUUAUGUUCAAGAUUUUAGUCUUUAGUUCCUUUUUUUCUCUUAGUAAUCCACAGGAGAAGCAAAUCCCUCCAACCCCUGGGAAACCCGUAAAGCUCUUGGAAUCACUCAUUCAACAGCAUUUCUUGAGCAGUUAAUUAUGUAUCUAGCAUUUGCUAGAAUCUAAAAACACAAAGAUUCUCUUUUAAAACAAUUUUUUUUUAUUAUUUUAGAAAGAGAGAGCCCAACAUGGGGCUUGAUCCCAUGAUCCUGGUAUCAUGACCUGAGCUGAACCCAAGAGUCAGACGCUCAACUAACUGAGCCACCCAGGUGCCCCUACAAAUACAAAGAUUUCUAAGACAAGGUCUCUACUGUAACAAUUAGGGUAGGGGGAGGUGAGGAAAAAGAGAGAUGGGAAUAGGAACUGACAAGUAAAUGAAAUGACAGUUACAGAGAAUGAUCAAGUUUCUUGAUGUGUCUUGGGCCUUUGAAUUCUCAACACCAGGUACUGUCCCCAGAAUUGUGGAUAAUAAUAAUAAUCACUAUCAUGUGAUGGUAGCAAGUACAGUGCCUGUAUUAUCUCAUUCAGUGCCCAUAAUAGUUCCAUAAAAGAUAUAAGGUUAAAGCAUACAGAAUUGUUGAUUUUGUAGAUCAGAAAGGGUCAAACUUUGGCAAUGUAAUAUGGUUCACCUAAUAAUAAUAGUCAUAAUUGGUUACACAAGGCAUACAGUGUAACCAGUGCAUUAUCACAUUUUAUCCUUAGGACAACUCUCUACCGUAGGUACUACUGAUAUUCCUACAGAGGAGGCAACUGAGACUGAAGGUGGUGAUGGAAGCAUGUUCAUGAAGCUGCUAGGUUGGAGACAAAGCUUGAAUUCACAACUGAAGUAUGAGGAACUUCAGAGCCACUGAAACCAUAAAGGUCUGUAACCACUAUGCUACUCUAAUAUUAUUACAGAUAAGCAAACUGAGGCUUGAAGAGGUGAAGUUGCCUGAGGUGGCUGUGGGAUCUACCAUGCCCCAAGUUCACAGGGCAUCCCAGCUUCAAACUCCUGGCCAAAUCACCUUUUUUUCCUCAUCUCCUCCUUGUCACUCUGGAAAUUGGGCUGAAUUCAGGCCAUCCUCGGAAACACAGGUGUUGCCUCCACAGCUGGCAGAACAGCUAGCAAAGAGGCUUUGAUACUUGCUUGCUCCUAAUUGACCCUAAAGGAAGUACAUCGUUUUAAAUUAACAAACUUUAUUUUUUAGCGAAGCUUUAGGUUCGCAAUAAAUUUGAACAGAAGGCAUAACGAAUUCACUACUCCCCUUCCCCACACACGCACCACCUGCCCCACUAUUGACAUCCCCCCCACCCCCCGCCAGAGUAAUAUGUUUGUUAUGGUUGAUGUUAUGAGCCUACCCUGAUAUAUCAUUAUCACCCAAAGUUCAUAGUUUACAUUAAGGUUCACUGUUAGUGUUAUACACUCUACGGGUUUUAGCAAAUGUGUAACUAUAUGUAUCCACCAUUAUAAAUACCAUACCGAAUAGUUUCACUGCCUUAAAAAUCCUCUGUGAUCUGCCUAUUCAUCUCUCACCCCAAACCCCAAACUUCCAAUCACUGAUCUUUUUACUGUCUCCAUAGUUUUGUCUUUUCUGGAGUGUCAAAUAUUUGAAAUCAUAUGAUAUGUAGCCUUUUCAGAUUGGCUUCUUUCACUGGGCAUAUAUCCAGUUAAGGUUCCUCCAUGUCUUUACAUAGCUUGAUAGCUCCUUUCUUUUUAUCACUGAAUACUAUUGUGUUGUUUUGGUUUACGGCAGUUUCUUUAUCUGAAGGACAUCUUGGUUGCUUCCCAGUUUGGGCAAUUAUGAAUAAAUAUGCUAUAUAUACCAUGUGCAGGUUUUUGUGUGGACAGACAUAAGUUUUGAAUUCAUUUGAGUUAAUAUCCAGGAGCAUGAGUGGUAGACUGUAUGUUAAGAUUAUGUUUAAUUUUUAAAAUAAAAAUAAAAAUAAAUUAAAAGGUAUGUGUAGUUUGUAAGAAACUGCCAAACUGUCUUCCAAAGUAGUUGUACCAUUUUGCAUUCUCACCAGCAAUGAAUGAGAGUUCCUGCUGCUCCACACUGUUGCCA